GGAGGUGUAGCUCAGACGGCAGAGCAACGGGCUUUUAACCCGGAGGCCGCAGGUUCGAGGCCUGCCACCUCCACCA
rnacentral:tRNA from 1 species